rnacentral:misc_RNA from 1 species
GCUGGAGGGUCUUACCUGCACACACCAAGAAAUAAAGCCCGAAGAGUCAGAUUGGGCCCAGACUUGCCCGCCACCCCCUUCUGUCCUCUUUUCUUUUUUUUUUCUUUCUCCUCUCCCCUCCCCCUCCUCCUACCCCCACACACAAACACACACACGCAUACAUACACGGAGUGCCGCAAACACUCUCGCACGCCCCACGCGCACCAUACGCUACAGGUUGUUGCCGGGCCCCGCCCUUCUUUCCUUUUUAUUUCUUUUUUUUUUUGCUGUUGCUGUUUGUGUUGCACAGGUGCCUCUUUCAUCUCACGGCCAAAAAUAAAAAGAGAGGAGAAACGCAUAGACAAGCAAAGGGAACGAACACACACGCGAUACACACACACACACGCCAUCUCCACCUCUCUCGCUCUCUUUUUCUCCUCCAAGCCCGCGGGCACGCUCCUCAUUGGACAAGGAAGCUGAAACGAAGCUAAAGAAAAAGGCUUCAUAGUGACGCACAAAAGGAGAGGACAAGACAGACACGAAAAGGAGCCGUCAAAGAACUUUCCAUCAUAAUUUCUCCCCUUCCUCCCUCCCUCCUCGUCUCUGGGUGUGCGGCGCUUAUUGUUCGCUGACGUGGCGGAAGAAAAACAGAAAUCAAAAGAAUACACGAUCUCGUUUUUUUUUCCGUCUUCGCGCGACUCUUUUUUCUUGACCUCUCUUACCAGUUUUGCUGUGUCCGCCGUGCACACUUCCUCCUGUCGCUCUCUCUAUCUCACGUGCUUCUUUUUUUUUUUGUAAUCGGUGAGUUGAGCUAGGCAGUUGUCAUCCCCUCAUCCUCCCUUUUCCCGCUUUCUCUCUCUCCCGUGCUGAGUUUUUCUCUUGCUUUCCGCUCUUCUUCUUCAUCUUUUUUCGCUGGUGUGUGUCAGUGCGAGUGUGUGUGUGUGUGCCUGAGCGUAAGUGUGAGCCUCAGUGCUUCUCCCCUUUCUCGUUUUUCUUGUCUUCUAUCUAGCCCGCCUUCCAGGUACAGGGACUGUUCUCCUCUCCUCCCUUGUGACGAGGCAGCAACUGUAACGCCGAUUUCUGCGACUCAUUCUAGUGGCCACUUUUUUUUCUGAGUAGCAGCCGUCUAGUGUAUCAGCCUCUGUGUGUGUGCGCGCGUGUCUAGGCGUGAGCGUGCCUUUGCGCUUGCAUCGUCCAUUCCUUGCUCAUGUAGGUGCUGGCCCCAUUUGCGUUGUGUGCUCGCCUCUUCGCCAUCUCUCUGCCUCUCUCUUACCGGCACCUUUGUAAUCCUUGACCGCUCUCCUCUCUUCUCUGAGCAGACAUCGCUGCUCCUGUUGCUGCCUGUGCUGUUCGUGUGGGAGACCGUUUUUUGGCUUUCUCUUUUGUGGUUGCUGUGUGUGUGUGCGUUACGUGCCUUGGUGUUUUCUCGGUAGACACACUCCCCCUCCCCCUUCCUCCCUCUUUCCCUCUCCCUACCAUAUCCUCUACCUACCCGCUCACGCUCUUUUCGUUCUUUGCUGCUGUGUGAUUCCUCUUCCCAACACAGGCACACGCUUAUGGGUAUUGAAUGUAUAGAUAUAUUUAGAAACUGCGCAUAUAAAGCGAAGGAGAAAAAAAAAGGACAAGAAAAAAAAACAAAUCUGGAAUACAGUUACAAGCCCUCCUUCCUUUGUUAUUUCACGUGUGUGUGUGUUUGCUUUGUUGUCUUGACGUUCCGUUCGCUGGACGCACUGCCGCAAACUAACAGACUACAAAAAAAAUAAAGGAGGCGCACAUUACCCACUUUUCCCCCUUUUUGUUGCGUCUUUUUGUGUGUGUGUUUUCCCCCUCUUUAUACGCGCUCCGUGGUUUGUGCGUUUUUUUUUGCCGUUCAUCUCUUGUCUCUCUGUUUAUCACUUCCCUGUGCUUGUUGUCUCUCGUCGUCAUCAUCUCUCAUUCGUGUGCUCGUUUUUUCUUCUCCCUUUCUUCUUUUGCAGCUCUGUGAUUGCUAGCCUGCACGUAUCUGUGCGCGCUUGUGUGUGUGUAUGUGCGCGUGUGUCCUCUCUUCUGCCCCCUCCCUCUGUCAAUACAUCGAAAGAAAGGCGUAUACGUACUCAGACCGAAUAGGAGUCACCCACACAAGAUAGUGAGCAACAGCGAGAACGACUGGUUCCUUUUUGUUGUUGGCUUGCUGUGGGGUUGUUUGGCUACAUCCCUCCCUCCCUCCCUCCCAACCCCUUUCCUUGACACUCCGUUUUUUUUUUCUGUGCUUUGGUGUGCUAGUUUACUUACGUGUUUCCGCCUCCAACUCCUUCAUCUCCUACCUCUCCCUCCCUCUUGCUUAGUCUGCCCAUCUUCCUACAUGAUUCUACCUCGGCGUACUUGUUUGCUUCCGUUUGUCUGUUCUGCACACCCGCGUGCGUUGGCUUUGUCUGCCUGGGUCUAUGGGUGUAUGUAUGCGUGUGCGUAUGGGUGUGUGUUGAAUAGUUGAAUUCGGUAUCAUCAUCAUCUGGUUUGUUUUGUGUUCGACGUGUCUUUUUUUCUUUGGUUCGCCGGGUUUUGCGUGCAUCUGUGUUUGCGCGCAUUGGUGGCGGCAUAAACAUAUAUAUAUAUAUAUACUCCUUUGAUCCGUUUUAGCUUCUUACUUGAUCGCUUCUCCGUCUCAUCUCUCUCAGUGUCCUGCUGCCUUUCCUAGCGUUCCUUCCCACACUCUCCUCCGUUCAGUGUCGACCUUACCUCCACUUGCCUCGCCAUCUUUUUCCCUCCUCCUCUUUCUCCUCCCCUUUGGCCCUCUUCAUCUGCUGCUCACCCCCUUCUCUCCCCCCUCUCUCCGUUCUCGAGAGCGCGCGUGGCUCUCUUGCAACUCCCUCCUUCCCUCCCCUUUUUUGUUCCCACUUCACCUCCACGACAAUACCGAGACUUCUACCUACCUAAUAUAUGUAUGUAUAUGUAUAUGAGGAGCGUGCGCAUCACCUACAUUUUGCACACCUUUUUUUUGUUCUGUCUCUGUGUGUGUGUAAGCGUGCUUGGACCUCUCUCUUCCUUUUUUCCCCGUGCCCUCCCCGCCCUCUUACCCUGCACCCGUCCUCCCCCUCUUGGUGUUGUAAUUGAGUCUCGUCUCUCGUGCACUUCUUUUUUUUUGUGGUAGUGUUGCCUUUUCUCAGUUUCGUCGGAUCGCGUGCGUGGGUGUAGGUGUGGGUGUGGGUGUGGGGGUGUGGCAUCUUCGGGGCAUCGUAUCACUUGUGCAAGUGUGCUGCUGCACUUGGUUUCCUCCUUGCUGGUUUUUGGUUUCUAUUUCAGUGCAGGCGUACGUCUGUGAAGAGUGACUCGACGAGAGCGUCGUUGUAUCUCCGCUCUGUCGGUGCCGUGUGUAGGCGGACAUAAGUCGGUCGCGGCCGUUGAGACCGCAAGACGGGGCACCGCCACGCAAGGGUGCGAUAAAAUACAAAAAAAACAAGCAAGCCCAAAGGGCGGUAAUCGGCUCAGUGCGACUGCGUAGACCUUCUGUGGGCUCUAUCAUUUUGUUUUCUCAAAUCGUCUUAGAUACCCAGAGCGGUAAAAAAAAUGCAGAUGUUCAUGGGCAUUGCAGCCGCGGCUGAGGAGGACAACCUCAUCUCUCUAUGUCCCGAGGAUGACGGCGAUGUCCCUGACAUGCCGUUCUUCGCGGCGAGCAACCUGGACGACCGCCCCAUUGCCCCCGCCGCUGAGGACUACCCGCUAGGGUGUGAGGUGGAGCUGCGUGACGUCGAGUUUGCCAAGAUCGCACAGGAAAGCAGUCACUGGGAACCGAUCAUGGAGGCCGUGUUCGCUGUUCCGCGGCGCCGGGUGCGGGUGGACAGGCACACCGGGGAUUACACCUUUGUGCUGUGUAGCGAUAUCGACGGCUUCGAGCGCGUCGGCUGCACCCUCUACCGUGCGUGCCUGAGUGAACCAAAGGUGAAGGCGACGCGGUACUACUCGAGCAUUCGCAGUGGACUCUCCGGCUUGGAGCUGGAGGACAACGCAGAGGAAAUCCUCAGCAAGCCAGUACAGCUGGGUGCGGCCACGUCCACCGCCGCAGAGGCGAACAGGACGGUGAUGGACGCGAGAGUGGCGGCAACUGCAUCCACCGGGAACAACAGGGUAGCGUCGCUGAAAUCUGUGCGCGGCGCCGCCAACGUGGCAAGCUCCGCUGACGAUGCGCGCCGCCGCAGCUUCAUGGCAUACAUGAAGAAGGGAACGGCUGAAAUCGGCAAGCGCAACUGCGAGGCGGCGCUCCGUUACUACAACCGAGCACUCGAGGAGAUGCCAGAGGAAGAGGCGCGGGUCCGCAGCAGUCGAUCUGUGGCAUAUCUUCUGGCAGGUGAGAAGGACCGGGCACUCGAGGAUGCUAAUCGUGUGGUGCACCUCGUUCCGCGGGAGAGUGUGGGGUACAUCCGAACGGGCAACGUGCUGCGUAGCAUGAAGAAAUUUGUCGAUGCGCAGAAGAUGUACGCGACGGCGCUCAAGUACGACAGCUCCAGCGCGGUGGUGCGCAACCUGCUCGAGGGCAACUCCGUGGCGAUGCUGUACGAGGGCCGCACAAAGCGGUACAAGAAGAUGCGGAUUGCGUACGACGACUCGAUGAGGCGCGCGAUUGCCGUGGUAGCGCAGAACAUCGACGCCAACGAGAUUGUGAUGAAGGAGGCGACUAGUUGCGUCUUUCCGCUCUCGAGCGGCAUCUACCGCGUUGUGAACGGGCGACAGCGCUGCCCGAUGUGCUGCCACUGCGGCCGCCCAUUCGUGGAUGAGGCUCAGGUAACAGAACAGAUUCCCGGGUUGACGAAACAGCUGCUCAACUCUCUCCACGUUCUGGUCAACCCCGUGCCGUGCGAUAGCAACUGCAGCGCUCUCUACUGCAGCGAAAGUUGCAAGUCCAAGGCGUGGGUGGAGCACCACUGGGUGGAGUGCACGCAGCGUGGGCGAUGGCGCGACGGCGUGCCGGUCGUGCAUCGCCUGCUGGAUCAAUUCGUCACGACCUGCUCUGCCAACUCUGCUGCGGAGGAGGCGCCGUGCGACGUCUCUCCUGCACCGCAAUGCGUGGCGGAGGACGCGCGUCCCAUCAUUACCGCCGCCUGCGUCCGCAUCGCGGUGCGGAUGAUGUCGCGUAUGGUGAGCAGCGUGCUGCCUGCGCAGGAGGCCGUUCAGCAGUACCGCUGGCUGCCCAUCGCCGACGUUGUGCGAGGUCAGCGGAGAGAGGUGAAGGAGUUAUUGAGGACAUGCUACUCCACCCUCUCCCGCGGGUUCUCUUCCGAGGACAGCGACCAGCUCACCUUCGAGGUGUUUCAGGAGUACUACGAAAAGGCGAAGUCGAACUCGAUCAUGAUUUGCUGCUCCGUAUGGCCCAAGGUGGUGGAGCGCGUGAGUAGCCACCUCGAUUUGGUGACCGCAGAAGACAGUCCAGCCGGGCUGCAUGGCACCGAAGCCUCGUUCCACCUAUGCCUGCAGCAAAUCAUGAAUGCACCGCGCCAAGGCGUACCAGGCACUUACCACAUCUGCAUCUCCAUGUUCGAAUUGGCCUCUCUGAUGACAUCGAACAACUGCACGCGAUCGGAGGUGAUGCGGCCCAACGUGAUGGUGCGCACCUUUGCGGAGUCGGCGGCGAACCUGCGCCUGCGAACACUGCGGCCCGUCGCGAAGGAGGAGGUGCUGACGAUGGCUUGGCCGGCGUACGGCGCUGCGUGAGGAAAAACACCAAAGAGACUGCCUCCUCCUCCCUCCUUCGUUUUGCCCAUCCAUACAUGUCCGCCUAACUGCCUCGCCUUCCCUCCCCACGCGUAUGCAUGCGUAGCAUACACGGGAAGCCGCUGUUGUGGUGUUGGAAGGAUGAUGUGUACUCGUCUUUGCUCUCCCUCUGCCUGAGCAUCACGUGCGAGCUGCAUCUGCUCGCCCCCGUUCUCUUUCGGCUUCUCGGGUCCUUUGCGGCUUUGCCUGUGCCUUCCCGGCUUGUGGUCGUGCGAGGACGGCAAUGCCCCGCUUCACCUCCGUCGUGGCGAGUGCCGCUCCUUUGUUACCUUGCCCUGCCCCCUCCUCUCCCUUCCUGUGUAUGCCUCAGUGAGGGUGCGUUUGCGGUUGUGCGGGGGGGGCAGUUCUCAUACCCACUUGGUGGUGAAUCGGAUCAUGUCGGUGUGGCUUGCGCGUCUGCGUUGUGUGUGUAUCGGCCGUCUUUAGAGCGUCGGAUCUCGUUUUUCUUUUGUGUUGCUCUAAUUUUAUUGAUUUUGUGUGUGUGUGUGUGCCUGUGCGUCUCAUCGUUUCUUCAUCCAUUCAUUCAUCUAUCCAUCCGCCGGCCGCCUUGCGUGGCGGCGGGUUGGUUCCGCAUGCCAAACGAAAACACCAACAACAUAUACGUGCACACAUACGCUCAAUCUUUUCUUGUACUCUUAGCUUUUUUGGGGGGAGGGGAGGGGACUCGUUGCGCCGAUGAUGAUCUUGUGCGGUGCUUCUUCUGAUCUGUGUUGGCUUUUGUGUGAGGGGGCUCCCCGUGCGCAUGAGUGUUUCAUCGAUGAUAUCCGAUGCGCCAGAGUCUGUGCGUGUGAACCCCCCUUCUCCCUCUUCCCCAACCCCCACGGUCGUGCUGCCCAAAACGGAAGUCACGAAGAAGAAGAACAUGUUUCGCAGAGAUGAUCACCAAAGUGGUGAAAAGAAAGAAUUUACCUGCUGCCGUGCCGCCGGCGCACACCGGACAUAAAAAAAAUAUACAAGACGCCGACAGGCACGCAGAGGAGGAGCGAAGAAAAAAAAACAGAAAGAAGAGGAGCUGGCGCAAGCGGCGCACAAGGAAGGCUGGGCGAUGCGCAAAACCGGAGGGAAUCACGCGCGCCCGUGCGAUUGCCUACCAAGGCAACGCGUGCCUUUCAUCAGAGUGCGGCGCAGCGAUGGAAUGGAGAAUCAAAGGCAGGCACCAGGGCCAUCGACCAACUAGCGGCGACGCACGAUAAUGAGUCGGGGGCGGGGGCUUGUGAGAAAAGAUGAACAGACAAACAAGCAGACAGAGAAGCGGGUGCACGCAAGAACACUCAUACACGUAACGAGGUAAACAGCGAGGGAGGGUUGGGGGAGGGUGACUACUAUCAGGAGGUGAUGCUGCUGUCUUGCAACGGGGACACGACCGGCGGUUGCCGGCUAUCGGCGAGGUGUAGACUGAUGGAGGUUCUCAACACGGGGGAAGUAGCAAUUCAAAACAUCAAGGGACGAGAAUGUCAACGCUCUUCGUCAUCGGUGCCUUUACUACGUGUUUUGUAUUUGAUGGUUUUCGUUAUCUCACCUCUCACGUUCUCUUUACAUUAUCAUGGGUGUGGCGAUCCUCUCUCUGUCUUCGUCGUAUUGCUUCUGCUGCUUCAUGUCGCGACGUGUAUAUUAUUAUUAUUAUCCUUCUGCACAGCAUGCUUUCCUCCUCACGCGAUUCUGUGCCGUCGACGGUAGCAUAUGGGACUCUUUUUUCUCUGGUUGCGCACGAUGAUCUUAUGGUUUUAAGUGUGCGUGCGUGCGUGCGUGGUGACUGCGUGAGUCGCGCGCGUGCGCGCAUUCCUUUUGCGUCGUAUCUGUCUCUGUUCUCCCAUCUAUCGUUCUCUCUAGCCGUCCCUCUCCUUUUCCGUUUGCGCCGUCCAGCCAUCCUGUACGUCUCCUCCGCCUCCUUUCCGUGGCUAUGCCACGCGAAAGAACGCACACGUGUGCCCAUACAGGUGCGUGUGUGUGUGUCUCUCUCUGCAUGCGGUUUUCUCUGUCUGUUCAAAGGCUCUUUCGCACGCCCCCACCCCCUGUUGGAGCAGAUCCUUGCUUUUGAUGACCGGCUCGCGAGAGUUUCGUUUUUUCCUGUGCGCUCUUUCCUUCACUGCCUAUUUGUUUUGCUUUGGACUGGCGUCCAUCUCUCUCUCUGUGAUUCUCUUCCUCAUCUUUCAUCCUCUUGGUGCGCGAGGGCCGAAAG